GAGGAGAGGAGCUGGCGCAGGUGUUCAUGGCGAUGCUCUUCGUGGUAUGGAGUGGGCGUCUUGUGGAUGUCUGUCUCUUGGGGUGCGAUGUUGUGUACAGCGCCCGUGGCACAUACAGAAGUGGGGCUCAGACACCCACAAGGCUUGAGGCUUCCUGGGAACUCAGAAUCGAGGUUGAGCCACUUUGACAGGGUUCUUUGAGGGGCAGGGGUCCCCUUACCUCUGGAUCACACCACACUGGGCAGAGCGCUUCAUGGCAUCCAGGAGGAAGUUACUUGUUCACGCUACAGUGCUGGAGAGUGGAAACCCAGGGGCCACGAAUUUGGACCGACGGAGGUGACAGUGUUUGGCUGAACCCACUGAGGGAGGAUGAGGCCACUGCCCUGGAGACCUCCAGGGUUGAGCGGGGAGCCGGGCUGGGAGUCACACAGGCUCAGGCCUAUCUCCACCACCCUGUGGGACCUCGGACACAUCAUUGCAGCUCUCAGGGCCUCAGUGUUUUUAUUUGGGCAUUGAAGACGUGAACAGACCUGUCUGUCAGUAGCGGGACACGGUUAUGACCAGCUGUGGGGGAGAAGAGGCCUCCAGAGGCCUCUCCGCCCUUCAAAAUUGCAUGGGCUAUGGGGAGAGUCUGCAAAUGGCACAGGGAGGGCCGUGCUCCCAGCAGCCCCUUCAGUACUUCCCCCCUCCUUCUUCGUAUGAGCUCUUUCUUUGACAGAACUCCUUGCUCCUCACAACCCUCUCUGGUCAUAUUUAUUUUAUUCUAUGACUUUGAUCUGUAAAAUGCCUGGAAAAUCCUUUCUCAGAAGGUGCUGGCUUCUGCCUCACUCGUUAGCAGUAAAACGCGGUGUUAAACAUUU